UUGGUCUGGUUUGUUCUGGUUUGCUCUGGUUUGUCUGGUUUGCUGUGAUUUGUCCCCACCACGGACGGUGAGAACACCGGGACAGAGAACACAGAUCCCUGUCCCCCACAGAUCCUCAGCAUUUCACAAAUGUCUGGGGAGGAAAUUGAUUUCCCACAAGACAGCGUCGAGAAUUUUAUUUUUAUAGUGCUGGUUAGCCAAUGAGGUGGUUAAUUAAUUGGUUAAUUAACCAAUAAACCUCCUGCUGGGGGAAAAUGUAAAAGCUGU
rnacentral:lncRNA from 1 species